AUCGCUUCUCUGCCUUUUGGCUAAGAUCAUGUGUAGUAUCUGUUCUUAUCAGAUUAAUAUCUGAUACGUCUCCUAUCUGGGGACCAUAUAUUAAAUGGAUUUUUGAGAACGGGGGCCGAUUUCAAAGCUUGCCUCUGUUUCCUAUCUAGUCUCUUCGGGUGCAGCGCACCGAAAAAAUGUUUUAAUCAUA